rnacentral:rRNA from 1 species
GAACUGCGGAAGGAUCAUUAACACAAAUCCAAACCUUAAAUUAUCCAUUGUCUGCUUGCAGACAGAAUCAAUACCCCUAAAGCGAGUAACUAAGCUAAUAACCAAGUUAAACUCUCAACGGUGGAUAUCUUGGUUCCCAGAACGAUGAAGAACGCAGCGAAGUGCGAUAAGCAGUGCGAAUUGCAUAAUUCCGUGAAUCAUCAGCUUUUCGAACGCAUCUGGCGUCGGAGGACUUCGGUCCUUUCGGCAUGCUAGUUUCAGUGUCGUUUUGUACUGACCCAAAUCUUAAUGUGGAGGAACCGUCCUCUACGAAAUUGGGAAGUGAAACAACGUAGCAGACACUUCGGUGUACUCGUUGGCGUGAACUUCUGGUACAACUAUUCUAUUCAUACCUGAUUCUAGUAAGAGGACCCGCUGAACUUAACC